rnacentral:rRNA from 1 species
AUUGAACGCUGGCGGCAGGCCUAACACAUGCAAGUCGAACGCGUGGCGGACGGGUGAGUAAUGUCUGGGAAACUGCCUGAUGGAGGGGGAUAAAUACUGGCAACGGUAGCUAAUACCGCAUACCAUCGGAUGUGCCCAGAUGGGCUUAGCUAGUAGUGGGGGUAAAGGCUCACUUAGGCGACGAUCCCUAGCUGGUCUGAGAGGAGGACCAGACACACUGGAACUGAGAAACGGUCCAGACUCCUACGGGAGGCAGCAGUGGGGAAUAUUGCACAAUGGGCGCAAGCCUGAUGCAGCCAUGCCGCGUGUAUGAAGAAGGCCGUCGGGUUGUAAAGUAAUUUCAGCGGGGAGGCGUUACCCGCAGAAGAAGCACCGGCUAACUCCGUGCCAGCCGCCGCGGUAAUUC